rnacentral:lncRNA from 13 species
CUCAGGGAUGCUGAUGUGAGGCUGCUCAGGGGAUACACAGGGACAUGGCCCCGACGCAGGCGUGGGGGGAGCAGAGGCAGAGCCCCCUGAGAGCCGGGACAUCUCCACCCCUCUUCACAUCAACCGGUGGAUGAGCAACGGCUUCACCCGAUACAUCUACAAACACCGUUGCAGCCAUGCACAUGGAUUUUUUGAAAUCCUACCUGCCCCGAGCAGGUACAGACCCUUAGGGACGAGCAGGGGAUCCAGCAUGGAGCAGCACCAGGAAAAACACGGCAGAAGGAUGUACAAACUGGAAGCAGAGAACUGCAACAGAAGCACGUGGUGUCUCAAUAUCCAAAUCUACCCCUGUGUGUGCUACUUUCCCUGUCUUCAUACCGAAAGAGAUGAUUGCCCUGAAAGUGAUUUUCCCAGAUCCUUUAACCUGCUGCUCCGGCUGCCGCGGUGGGUUGUUCCCGGGCUGGCAGCUGCCGGGUGAUGGGGCCGUGGCGCUGAGUGCGGCGCCGCGCCGGCGCCCAGGGGUUAUCAGCAGAAGUGGCCGAGGCGGAAUUAGCGGGGCAGGGAAGUGGGAAACCGGCUGCGAGCGGGCACCAGGACAAGGAUCAGGACUGGCUUCGGGUCAUGCCACUAAAGCCGGCGCCAGCCUCGCCCCAUCCGGGACUGGGAUACCGCCCGUGCUCAGAGCACACCGCGGCGUGUCGGAGGCACGAGGAACCAGCACGGAGGUGUUUACCCAAAGGUUUGUCAGCAUUCCAUGCUUGGGCAAGGACCCGCCACCGCCGCUGCUAUAA